rnacentral:rRNA from 1 species
UACGGAGGGUGCGAGCGUUAAUCGGAAUUACUGGGCGUAAAGGGUGCGUAGGUGGUUUAAUAAGUUAAGUGUGAAAGACCCGGGCUUAACCUGGGAUAGUCAUUUAAGACUGUUAGACUAGAGUAUGGGAGAGGGUAGUGGAAUUUCCGGUGUAGCGGUGAAAUGCGUAGAGAUCGGAAGGAACACCAGUGGCGAAGGCGGCUACCUGGCCUAAUACUGACACUGAGGCACGAAAGCAUGGGGAGCAAACAGG